UGGGGAAUAUUGCACAAUGGGCGAAAGCCUGAUGCAGCGACGCCGCGUGCGGGAUGAAGGCCUUCGGGUUGUAAACCGCUUUUGAUUGGGAGCAAGCGAGAGUGAGUGUACCUUUCGAAUAAGCACCGGCUAACUACGUGCCAGCAGCCGCGGUAAUACGUAGGGUGCAAGCGUUAUCCGGAAUUAUUGGGCGUAAAGAGCUCGUAGGCGGUUUGUCGCGUCUGGUGUGAAAGUCCAUCGCUUAACGGCGGAUCUGCGCCGGGUACGGGCAGGCUAGAGUGCGACAGGGGAGACUGGAAUUCCCGGUGUAACGGUGGAAUGUGUAGAUAUCGGGAAGAACACCAAUGGCGAAGGCAGGUCUCUGGGUCGUCACUGACGCUGAGGAGCGAAAGCGUGGGGAGCGAACAGGAUUAGAUACCCUGGUAGUCCACGCCGUAAACGGUGGAUGCUGGAUGUGGGGCCCAUUCCACGGGUUCCGUGUCGGAGCUAACGCGUUAAGCAUCCGCCUGGGGAGUACGGCCGCAAGGCUAAA
rnacentral:rRNA from 1 species